CCUCAUCCUCUGAAACGCUUGCCACGUCAGCAAGCUAUCAGAACCGGCCUGAUGACAUUUCCCAACCGCUCGGUUAACCUCAAGAGACCGAGCCAACCGGUCCAAACCACCGUACAAUCUCUGCUCGCAGAACCUCAUCAUGUGUUUCACGUCGUACACUCGCUCCCCGAAGAACGCUCUGAGCAGCCGGAGAAACUCUCGCAACGAGCUCGGAAGCUCCCGGCGCGUGAGGAUCUUCACCAGGUAACCGAAAUCGUACGCGCUGUGAAACGUCACCCAACUCACCGAUCCGUUGCAGAUCAGCCCCGACGACAUCAUCAGCUCCGCGAACCUCUCCGACUCAACACCGUCGCGACGGUUACGCUCGAAAUCGAUCCCGUGACGACGGAGUAGCUCGAUCGAGUCCGCCGCGUGUGCGUCACGCUCCACGUCGAAGUCGCGGAAAUUGAAUUCCCA
rnacentral:lncRNA from 1 species